UAGAGUUUUGAUCCUGGCUCAGAUUGAACGCUGGCGGCAGGCCUAACACAUGCAAGUCGAGCGGCAGCGGGAAGUAGUUUACUACUUUGCCGGCGAGCGGCGGACGGGUGAGUAAUGUCUGGGAAACUGCCUGAUGGAGGGGGAUAACUACUGGAAACGGUAGCUAAUACCGCAUAACGUCUUCGGACCAAAGUGGGGGACCUUCGGGCCUCACGCCAUCGGAUGUGCCCAGAUGGGAUUAGCUAGUAGGUGGGGUAAUGGCUCACCUAGGCGACGAUCCCUAGCUGGUCUGAGAGGAUGACCAGCCACACUGGAACUGAGACACGGUCCAGACUCCUACGGGAGGCAGCAGUGGGGAAUAUUGCACAAUGGGCGCAAGCCUGAUGCAGCCAUGCCGCGUGUGUGAAGAAGGCCUUCGGGUUGUAAAGCACUUUCAGCGAGGAGGAAGGCAUAAAGGUUAAUAACCUUUGUGAUUGACGUUA
rnacentral:rRNA from 1 species